UCAUAGAUGUGAUCAUGACUGCUGCAUGGAUUCCAGCCACUGUCAAGCGUGUUCUAGGAAAUUGAGGCAGUUCUGCUCAGAAGCUUCCAUCUUUGCACCUUAAGUCCAAAAGCAACUCUUAAUGUGAGGCCUUGUGAAAUCUCAUAUAGCUUAGCAUCAUCAUGUCCCUGAGCCUAUCCAUUCUUGAAAUGUCUCUGGGAUAUAGUCUAACCACUACUGAAAGUCUUUUUUCUGGACCAUUAUGUCUCACAAAUAUUAUGUCUCACAAAUUUCUGAUGGCAGUUAGCUCAUAUCAGAGGUUCUAAAGACUGCUGAACAGUACCACUUGGCAUCAGGGAUACCACGUGUGUCCACAUCUGUAGUGGAAGUGGAGUCAGCCAUACCCAACCAUAUCAAAUGGGUUCUCCAAAGGAAAGCAGAUUUUGUUACCAGAAAGAGGAAAAUUUGCCGAGCGACCCCCAACAGAGAUACCCUUCCACCAUGAUUUUUUCAGAAGGCAAAUUAGCCCCAUAUGGCUCUCUACAGUUAUAUAUAUGUUCCGCUGGUUUUGGCUGAGACUUUUACUGAAUUGUAAAUAAAUGACCCCACUGGUACAUGGGAGAAGUAUUUCACAUUACACGGUCUUUCAAUCACAUGGCAUGACGGCAG
rnacentral:lncRNA from 1 species